rnacentral:rRNA from 1 species
UACGUAGGGUGCGAGCGUUGUCCGGAAUUAUUGGGCGUAAAGGGCUCGUAGGCGGUUUGUCGCGUCGGGAGUGAAAAUCCAGGGCUUAACUCUGGACUGGCUUCCGAUACGGGCAGACUAGAGGUAUGCAGGGGAGAACGGAAUUCCUGGUGUAGCGGUGAAAUGCGCAGAUAUCAGGAGGAACACCGGUGGCGAAGGCGGUUCUCUGGGCCUGUACUGACGCUGAGGAGCGAAAGCGUGGGGAGCGAACAGG